GGUUAGUUACUCUACCAAGGUUACUCUAACCGCUCCAUCGCCUAUCUCUCCUUUAUCUCUUCCGGUCUACCAUGCCUACUUCAAUCAUCGUUCUGCUUAUCUCUUCAAAGGAUUAAUUCAACCUCGAUCUCUUUUUCCACUUUCUGCGACAAUAGACUACCCAUCGUUCUCCAAUCACCGACUCCUGAUUAACUCCUCGAUUAGCCACCUAUUUCGGUACUUAUUCCCUCUGUGGUUUCUUCUUUCUCUCUUCAUAGCAUCUUGAAAAGCGCUAAAGAGGAUCUCCUGAUUGAAGCAUUUGAUUUUUUAGAUGGUACGUUUGAAAGAACCGUUCUACUCCCAUUCUACCCCUUCGUCAACAAUACCAACCUCUAUCGUCGCUCUCCGCCAGCAUCCCCCUUGGUGCACCUCGAUUAUAAUCUCUAGCGGAAGUAAUAUGGGGAAAAUUGAUGUCGAUGCUUUUUUGUGUAUACCGCCCCUCCUUUUAUCCAAACGCAGACCAUCGGACCACCAAUCUCGCAGCUAUUGCACCUCCACUGAUUUCAUACCAUCUCCUGAGGUUCUUCGAUGUCGGCUACAAUCAAUCGCCUCAGCCUAAGGGGUUCUUCAAAUCCACAGCCGGACACCGCCUAAUUCGCCAAGUGCCGAAUUUCUACCCAUCAGAUCAGGUUCGUUGUAUUGCAUGAUACUCUUCCAUUGAUCCUAAUUUAAUCUAUUAUUAUACGCUUAUGUGAUUCAUCCACCAAAACCUUGAUUUGACUCUUGUACAUAUACUAGAAUUUCUUGUAGGGUAUUGCACAUCAACAUUUUUCUAAUGUUAUUUUGCAUAAUAGAAGAACGUUCUUUUGAGGUUCAACAGAACGGUCUUAACUUGAAGUUGAACUUUCCUUGAACCAAAACCUGCAACAAAGGUCAUCACUCAUUUAUGAUUUAAUUAUAUAAUCCGGCUCAAAUUUCCAAUCAAAUCAAUUGUUUCCUUAUGGAGUUUUUAUUGGAUGCAAAAGAAAUAAAAAUACCAAUUUACAGGUACUGAUUCUUAUAAAUUCAACUCUAACGCUUCCUUUUUCACUCCCAUUUCCAUUUAAAUAUAAAAAAAUUCUUUAUCUAAUUCCUUUUUAUUUUAGGUCAGUAGUUGUAUGGGGAAGAUGAGUCAGGAUUCAACGAGAUGUUGGUAAGACAAAGUUCAUGGUCCUUCUGAAAGAGAAACCACUUUAGCAUCUUUACUUCAACAACAUCCUGAUCUAAUCAUUGUAGACUUCACUGUGCACCUGAUGUUGUAAAUGAUAAUACUGAAUUGUUUUGGAAGACUGGAGUUGCUUUUGUGAUGAGAACUAUUGGUGGAGAUAGGGAUCUUUUGUAUAAAAAUUGGGAACAAUCAAAGCUUUAUGCAGUCAUAUCUCCUCAAAUGGGAAAACAUGGUCACAAUUUAUUUAUUUUCUUAUUUAAAUUGGAUGUUUAAUCUCACAUCAUUUGUUUUUUUAGGUUGUGACAUUUCUUGGAUAUUAAAGUAGGAUGCACGUAAUAAAAGAACAACUACUUUUUCAUGUGUUUCAGAGUUUGUCUAUUUGUAUUUAUUUGGAAAUGAAUUUGGUCGGGAGGGACUAAUCUUGGAUAAAGGAACGGAAGUUUGAAUACACACGGGAUAUACCCGUAUCCCUUUUCCCCCCACAUCGCAUCUUCAACCCUAACCUAAGAAACCAUUUCCAGCCGCCAUGCGUGAGUUGCCAGCCGCCGCUUCCCCUCUUCGUUCGUUUUUCGAUCAGACGAAGCCACCUCGCCCCUGGAACGCCAUCGCAAAACUGCUGCUGGUCGGAGACGUCGUUGACAGCUCGGAGAGCCACCAAGAUCGGUGGCAGUCGCCGUUUUCGCUGCUGAGAGGGUCAUGCGUGACCUGAGGGUCCUCGGAAAAAUGAAGAAAACUCAUCACCACAACCUUCUGCCGCCAUUCCGCCACCGUUAGCCACCAUCUCUGGUGGCUGUGGGAUUUCGAGUGCGUUUAGAUUGAUGAUUGAAGUACUUUUGGUGUUGCGUUGGCCCAAGAUCAUAACAGCCACCACCGUAGGGUGGUGGCUGCCGCUAAGCACCGCCGCCGGCCACCAUGGUGUGACUGGGUGUGUGUUAGUUAGUGUGUGUGUGUGUUUAUGUUUGGAUUAAACGUUGUAAUUGUACUUAGCUUUGGUUAAUAAUAAAAAUAAUGUUAACCACCACCGUAAGGU